AUGGAGGUGAGGUGGGUCCGAUCCCACCGUUACCCUGCUGUGCACGUGCACGCGGAUGGGGGCCCUGUGGCUGGAGAGCAGAUGGCAGAGUACAGAGGGAGGACGGCGCUGGUGAGCGACGCCAUCGACGAGGGCAGACUGACCCUGCAGAUACGCAGCGCCAGGCCUUCGGAUGACGGGCAGUACCGCUGCAUUUUUGAAAAAGAUGGUGUCUACCAGGAGGCCAGUUUGGAUCUAAAGGUGGUAGGUCUGGGUUCCUCCCCGCUCAUCACCUUGGAGGCGGCGCGGGCGGGAGAAGCACAGCUGACCUGCUCCUCGGGUGGGUGGUUCCCGCGGCCCCUCGCUCGGUGGAGGGACGCGGAAGGGAAGACACUGCCACCAUCUUCCGAGAACCUGACUCAAGGCAGCCACGGGCUGUUCCACGUGGAGACAUUUCUGUCCCUCAUGAACAUCACCGCUGCGAAGGUGACUUGUUCCAUCAGCAGCCCCCUUCUGGGUGAGGAGAGAACGGCGACUUUUUCCCUCUCAGAGCCCCAGAUGACUUUUUUGUGCUCCCGCAAAAUACUGCCGAUUUGGGGAUUGCUUCUUGCUGCGGCUGUAGGCCUGAUCAGGAGGAGCCGAGGCAAAGUGAAUGUGACACAGGAUCCAAACACAGGAAACUGAUCCUUCCCAAGGGAAGCGAGGGUGUGUCCCCUGGACGUUCGGCAGCCAGGAAGUUCGUCCCCAAGAGACGUGACUGCUUGCUCUGUGUGCUGGGCCGGGAGGGGCUCAAGGCAGGGAGGCGGCCCUGCGCG
rnacentral:lncRNA from 1 species